rnacentral:piRNA from 1 species
UGCACAGUGACAUACUUCCUCCAACAAGG